rnacentral:rRNA from 1 species
AUGAGGGAUCUGGAGCUGCUUGAGAAAGGAGGGAGGGGGACACAGAAGCAAGCUAGUCGCAGACCAAGUGGAUGGCUGGAACCGCCGGGUGAUCAUGUAAAGAUGAACGUGGAUGCGGCGGUGUCUAAUGAAGGAGAUGGUGGUGCAGUGGGGGUGGUGUGCCGUGACCACAAUGGCAGGUUCUUAGGAGCUUCAACAUUAAAAAUCAAGUUCAUCACUGAUGCGAGUACGCUGGAAGCGAUUGCAGUAAGGGAGGUGCAAACUUUGGCAGAGGAUCUUUAUGAAAACAAAAUUCAGAUUGCAUCGGACUGCAAGCGGGUGGUUGAAGAUGUUCACAAGGGCUCGUCGUCUGAGUAUGGAGCUAUAGUGCAUGAAAUAAUACAUCGUGUUAACUCUUUUAUGUCAUGUAAAGUAGUCCAUGAGUUUAGGAGCUCGCAUUUCGAGGCUCACAAUCUCGCUAAAUAUGCUUUGUCUCUGGGUGUUGGCCGUCAUGUGUGGUUGGGCCAGCCCGGAGAGCUUGAUUUUGUACCUUUCAACAUUAUGGAGAAUGAAUAA